GGUUAAGCGACUAAGCGUACACGGUGGAUGCCCUGGCAGUCAGAGGCGAUGAAGGACGUGCUAAUCUGCGAUAAGCGUCGGUAAGGUGAUAUGAACCGUUAUAACCGGCGAUUUCCGAAUGGGGAAACCCAGUGUGUUUCGACACACUAUCAUUAACUGAAUCCAUAGGUUAAUGAGGCGAACCGGGGGAACUGAAACAUCUAAGUACCCCGAGGAAAAGAAAUCAACCGAGAUUCCCCCAGUAGCGGCGAGCGAACGGGGAGGAGCCCAGAGCCUGAAUCAGUGUGUGUGUUAGUGGAAGCGUCUGGAAAGGCGCGCGAUACAGGGUGACAGCCCCGUACACAAAAAUGCACAUACUGUGAGCUCGAUGAGUAGGGCGGGACACGUGGUAUCCUGUCUGAAUAUGGGGGGACCAUCCUCCAAGGCUAAAUACUCCUGACUGACCGAUAGUGAACCAGUACCGUGAGGGAAAGGCGAAAAGAACCCCGGCGAGGGGAGUGAAAAAGAACCUGAAACCGUGUACGUACAAGCAGUGGGAGCCUCUUUAUGGGGUGACUGCGUACCUUUUGUAUAAUGGGUCAGCGACUUAUAUUCUGUAGCAAGGUUAACCGAAUAGGGGAGCCGAAGGGAAACCGAGUCUUAACUGGGCGUUAAGUUGCAGGGUAUAGACCCGAAACCCGGUGAUCUAGCCAUGGGCAGGUUGAAGGUUGGGUAACACUAACUGGAGGACCGAACCGACUAAUGUUGAAAAAUUAGCGGAUGACUUGUGGCUGGGGGUGAAAGGCCAAUCAAACCGGGAGAUAGCUGGUUCUCCCCGAAAGCUAUUUAGGUAGCGCCUCGUGAAUUCAUCUCCGGGGGUAGAGCACUGUUUCGGCAAGGGGGUCAUCCCGACUUACCAACCCGAUGCAAACUGCGAAUACCGGAGAAUGUUAUCACGGGAGACACACGGCGGGUGCUAACGUCCGUCGUGAAGAGGGAAACAACCCAGACCGCCAGCUAAGGUCCCAAAGUCAUGGUUAAGUGGGAAACGAUGUGGGAAGGCCCAGACAGCCAGGAUGUUGGCUUAGAAGCAGCCAUCAUUUAAAGAAAGCGUAAUAGCUCACUGGUCGAGUCGGCCUGCGCGGAAGAUGUAACGGGGCUAAACCAUG
rnacentral:rRNA from 1 species